GCGAGUCAUUGUAGCAAUACAGGCAUACGGCUCAGUAACGCGUAGUCCACCUAACCUAUGGACGGGAAUAACCUCGGGAAACUGAGAAUAAUGCCCGAUAGAACAUUAUGCCUGGAAUGGUUUAUGUUCCAAAUGAUUUAUCGCCGUAGGGUGGGACUGCGGCCUAUCAGUUUGUUGGUGAGGUAAUGGCCCACCAAGACUAUUACAGGUACGGGCUCUGAGAGGAGUAGCCCGGAGAUGGGUACUGAGACACGGACCCAGGCCCUAUGGGGCGCAGCAGGCGAGAAAACUUUGCAAUGUGCGAAAGCACGACAAGGUUAAUCCGAGUGGUUUCUGCUAAAGAAACCUUUUGUCAGUCCUAGAAACACUGAUGAAUAAGGGGUGGGCAAGUUCUGGUGUCAGCCGCCGCGGUAAAACCAGCACCUCAAGUGGUCAGGAUGAUUAUUGGGCCUAAAGCAUCCGUAGCCGGCUCUGUAAGUUUUCGGUUAAAUCUGUACGCUCAACGUACAGGCUGCCGGGAAUACUGCAGAGCUAGGGAGUGGGAGAGGUAGACGGUACUCGGUAGGAAGGGGUAAAAUCCUUUGAUCUAUUGAUGACCACCUGUGGCGAAGGCGGUCUACCAGAACACGUCCGACGGUGAGGGAUGAAAGCUGGGGGAGCAAACCGGAUUAGAUACCCGGGUAGUCCCAGCUGUAAACUAUGCAAACUCAGUGAUGCAUUGGCUU
rnacentral:rRNA from 1 species